rnacentral:lncRNA from 1 species
CCACUCCAUUCUUACCUCUCACGACCCCAGAAUACCACAACUUAAACUCGUCUGCAUUCCUUGCCUUCGACCCUUUCCACCUAGUCUCCUGGACACAGGCUAUGUUAACCCUCCUCUUCUGAAGAAUCUUCGCCAACUCAAUGGACUUACCUGUCAGAGUGCCUACGUUCCACAACCCGAUCCUUAAUCUAUGAGCGUCCGCUACCCUAUUCC